UACGUAGGUGACAAGCGUUGUCCGGAUUUACUGGGCGUAAAGAGCGCGCAGGCGGUCGUUCAAGUCGAGUGUGAAAGCCCCCAGCUCAACUGGGGAGGGUCAUUCGAUACUGAUCGACUCGAAGGCAGGAGAGGGAAGUGGAAUUCCCGGUGUAGUGGUGAAAUGCGUAGAUAUCGGGAGGAACACCAGUGGCGAAGGCGACUUCCUGGCCUGUUCUUGACGCUGAGGCGCGAAAGCUAGGGGAGCAAACGGG
rnacentral:rRNA from 1 species